UUCCUUAAAAAUGUUUAUCAAUUAUGUUGUUUGAUAAUUAAAAAAAAAAUGAGUUUUCUAACCCUAAACCCUCUAAUAUCUGAGUAUAUUGUUGAAUCUUUUGGGUGUUUUGUUGAGAUUCAUUUUAGGGUAGAGCUUUUUGUAAUUUAACGAUAACUAUAGAAAUAUUACGGAGUACCAUUGUUUUAUUCUAUUUUGAGCUUAUAAGAGCUGCAUAUUUGACUUUUGGAAUGGGAAUUGAUUUGAAGAACAAAUUUUUUUCAGUUUCAAACCUUAUAAUCCUGUUUCUAUGUUUCCUGUUUGUAUUAUCUGUUACUGCUCCUUUAUCAUGUUUUAUGGAAUAUAUACAUCUACCUUGAUUUCCUCUUCCACCUUGAUGCAAAAUCGAGGUGACAGGGUGUUAAAAGGUUCUUAAGGGAAAGGCCAUCCAUGGUUGAAGAAGGGCAAUGGAUAUACCAUACACCCACCUAAAUGAGCAAAGGAAGAUUGAUGUAACAAUUAGCAGGGAGUUGCUAUAGGAUUCUAUGCAAUGAAGUGUUUCCACUACUUCAACAACAAAAUAAAUGAGGUGGGAACGAAGAUUGCUGCAUAAUUGAAAGAACAUAGGAAAUCUGAUUAUUCAGGAGCUGAAUAUGGUCAUUAAGUCUUCAUGCUCAACAAAAUCACCCCACACUGUAAACCGGAAUUUGUAUAUGAAGUUAGGUUUCAAAUAUGUUAAUGAGAUAUGAGUACAUGCUGUUUUGUGUAGUAUCCUGGUAUUUGUAGGUAUUUUUAAUGGCGAUUUUAUAUGGUUAAUUUUACUUAAAAAUACAGGAAUGGGUCGACUGUGUAGCAAAUGGAGAUGCUAGCAUGUUGAAAAUAAAAAUAGAUGCGACAGAAAAAUAGAUGCAAAACCAAAUGUUGAUAUA